UCUCCUGUAGCUCAGUCGGUAGAGUGCCCGACCAGUGUGCGGAAGGUCAUAGAUUCGAUUUGGGAGAA